rnacentral:rRNA from 1 species
CCUACGGGAGGCAGCAGUAGGGAAUAUUGCUCAAUGGGGGAAACCCUGAAGCAGCAACGCCGCGUGGAGGAUGAAGGUUUUCGGAUUUUAAACUCCUUUUGUUAAAGAAGAUAAUGACGGUAUCUAACGAAUAAGCACCGGCUAACUCCGUGCCAGCAGCCGCGGUAAUACGGAGGGUGCAAGCGUUACUCGGAAUCACUGGGCGUAAAGAGCGCGUAGGCGGGAUAGCAAGUCAGAUGUGAAAUCCUAUGGCUUAACCAUAGAACUGCAUUUGAAACUGUUAUUCUAGAGUAUGGGAGAGGUAGGUGGAAUUGUUGGUGUAGGGGUAAAAUCCGUAGAGAUCAAGAGGAAUACUCAUUGCGAAGGCGACCUGCUAGAACAUAACUGACGCUGAUGCGCGAAAGCGUGGGGAGCAAACAGGAUUAGAUACCUAGUAGUC